UUCGGAUUGUAGUCUGCAACCCGACUACAUGAAGCUGGAAUCGCUAGUAAUCGCGGAUCAGAAUGCCGCGGUGAAUACGUUCCCGGGUCUUGUACACACCGCCCGUCACACCAUGGGAGCCGGGAAUGCCCGAAGUCGGUGACCUAACCGAAAGGGGGGAGCCGCCGAAGGCAGGUCUGGUAACUGGGGUGAAGUCGUAACAAGGUAUC
rnacentral:rRNA from 1 species